ACCAUCAUCUUCAACCCGAGAAUAUGUAGUGAUGUUGAGCUGGAAGUUGGCAGCCUGAUUCUCAUACACCCUCCUUGGUCUUGCUUGUUCGACAUUCCCUCCUUGGGGGUAAAUGCGACGUCUCCUCAAGAGAAUUUGUGAAAGAAAUCCCCAAUUCUUCGAUGGCAUCCGCUGCGAAAUCCCUAAUCCAAACCCUCCGUCUUCACAUAAAGAAACCCUGGGAAAUCACCGGCCCUGUAGCUGAUCCAGAAUAUCGUUCCGCCGUACAGAAGGCUACGGAAUACCGCGUCUUCUGCCCCGCCACCGUCCCCGCUAAAGCCAUCGUCCCCACUUCCUUACCAGAAACCGUUUACGACAUCAAGUACUUCCCUCGCGACCAGCGCCGCAACCGACCCCCAAUAAAACGCACCGUUUUGGAGAAGGCUGACGUGGAGAAGAUGAUGAAGGAGAAGACUUUUGAUCUGACUGAUUUCCCUAGGCCGUACUUGACUGCGAAAGUCAUCGAGGAUGAUAAUGCUAUCGGUGGCGGAUACCAGAAAUAAAAUUUCCGGGGUUUUAAUCUGCAUCCUCCUUUAUUGCCAAUCCCGACAGGAUUAUGAAGGAACUUGAAUUUCUUGAAGAUAUUCAUGCUUGGCUGUUCGCACUACGUAUCAGAAAUCAUAUUGGGAGGAUAGCUUGCGUAUGAGAAUGAAAGGGGUGGCAAGGACUUUGACCAUCAUCUUCAACCCGAGAAUAUGUAGUGAUGUUGAGCUGGAAGUUGGCAGCCUGAUUCUCAUACACCCUCCUUGGUCUUGCUUGUUCGACAUUCCCUCCUUGGGGGUAAAUGCGACGUCUCCUCAAGAGAAUUUGCUAUGAGACGUAAUCAUUUCAUUUCAAGUUUCUUGUGCUUACAUGAUGACAUGUCAUACGAUGCGACACAACGCUGUUGAAGAUGAUCUUGACACAAGAAAAGAUGUGUCGAGAAACAACGCUAUUGAAGAUGAUCUCGACACAAGAAAAGACCUUUUCUGUUGAAGAUGAUCUUGACACAAGUCCAAGGACAUUUGAAGCCCUCUGUUGUAGAAACUAGUCUUGCCUAUUGUAAAUUAGAAUACUAAUGUAAAGACUAUUUUUUUAGCCAAGGAAAUAAAAGUUUUGAUCAAAGAA